GGGAAUGUGGCUUAGUGGUAGAGUUCUUGCCUAGCAUGCAUGAAACUCUGGGUUCAAUUCCUUAGUACCA
rnacentral:tRNA from 1 species